rnacentral:rRNA from 1 species
UAACGACUCUCGGCAACGGAUAUCUCGGCUCUCGCAUCGAUGAAGAACGUAGCGAACUGCGAUACUUGGUGUGAAUUGCAGAAUCCCGUGAACCAUCGAGUCUUUGAACGCAAGUUGCGCCCGAAUUCAAAUCCGUUUGGAUGAGGGCACGUUUGCCUGGGUGUCA